AAUAGAUACCCCGGUAGUCCACGCCGUAAACGUUGGGCGCUAGAUGUGGGGACCAUUCCACGGUUUCCGCGUCGUAGCUAACGCAUUAAGCGCCCCGCCUGGGGAGUACGGCCGCAAGGCUAAAACUCAAAGGAAUUGACGGGGGUCCGCACAAGCGGCGGAGCAUGCGGAUUAAUUCGAUGCAACGCGAAGAACCUUACCAAGGCUUGACAUAUGCGAGAACGCUCUAGAAAUAGAGAACUCUUUGGACACUCGUAUACAGGUGGUGCAUGGUUGUCGUCAGCUCGUGUCGUGAGAUGUUGGGUUAAGUCCCGCAACGAGCGCAACCCUCGUCGCAUGUUGCCAGCACGUAAUGGUGGGAACUCAUGUGAGACUGCCGGGGUCAACUCGGAGGAAGGUGGGGAUGACGUCAAAUCAUCAUGCCCCUUAUGUCUUGGGCUUCACGCAUGCUACAAUGGCCGGUACAAAGGGCUGCGAAACCGCAAGGUGGAGCGAAUCCCAAAAAGCCGGUCUCAGUUCGGA
rnacentral:rRNA from 1 species